rnacentral:tRNA from 1 species
GGUAAAUCUAGCUCAACUGGUAGAGCACUGAUCUGUGGAUUCAGUGGAUUUGGUUCAAGUCCAAAGUUUUACC